rnacentral:rRNA from 1 species
UACAUAGGGUGCAAGCGUUAAUCGGAAUUACUGGGCGUAAAGCGUGCGUAGACGGUUAUGUAAGUCGGGUGUGAAAGCCCCGGGCUCAACCUGGGAAUUGCAUUCGAGACUGUGUAGCUAGGGUACGGAAGAGGGAAGCGGAAUUUCAGGUGUAGCGGUGAAAUGCGUAGAUAUCUGAAGGAACACCAGUGGCGAAAGCGGCUUCCUGGUCCAGUACCGACGUUCAGGCACGAAAGCGUGGGGAGCAAACAGG